CCCUUCAAGAAGUGGCUUGCUUUCCAGAUCCGCCUUCAGCUGACCUGGGAGGAAGGUCCUGGUAAGGAACACGGAACUAAUAAGCCACCAUCAACCAGAAGAGUUUGGGAAAGGUCAAAAGGAGAUGACACAUGUCCUUCCGCCAGCCGGAAUCCUUCUCGCUGGCAUCUGUCCUGGCUGAGCAAUGUGUGUGCCACCAGGAAGGACCCUGAGUCUUAAUGAUGGGCUAGAGACAACCUGCAAACUAAUCCUAUCCCCAUGAAACCCAAGACUGCAAGCCACGUGGCAGAGCAGUUCUCCUGGGUUCCCUUACCCUCCUGCUCUCCGCCCAGGAGCCCUCCCCAGUAAAGUCUCUUGCUUUGUCA